rnacentral:rRNA from 1 species
AGGACGAACGCUGGCGGCGUGCUUAACACAUGCAAGUCGAGCGAGGGGCACCUUCGGGUGUCACCUAGCGGCGAACGGGUGAGUAACACGUGGGCAACCUGCCCUCAGCUCUGGGAUAACCCCCGGAAACGGGAGCUAAUACCGGAUAUGACCUCUUUGGACAUCCUUCGAGGUGGAAAGAUUUCGGCUGAGGAUGGGCCCGCGGCCUAUCAGCUUGUUGGUGGGUAAUGGCCUACCAAGGCGACGACGGGUA